rnacentral:pre_miRNA from 1 species
GUAGUACUCCAUCCGUUCCGAAUUACUUGUCGCAGGUAUGGAUGUAUCUAGAUGUAUUUUAGUUCUAGAUAUAUCCAUUUCUGCGACGAGUAAUUUGGAACUGAGGGAGUACGAG